AUACGUAGGUGGCAAGCGUUAUCCGGAAUUAUUGGGCGUAAAGAGUGAGCAGGCGGUUAAUUAAGUCUGAGGUUAAAGCUUGGGGCUCAACCCCAUAAAACCUUUGAAACUGAUUGACUCGAGUACGGGAGAAGUGAAGGGAACUCCCUGUGGAGCGGUGAAAUGCGUAGAUAUAUGGAAGAACACCAGUGGCGAAGGCGCUUCACUAGCCCGAAACUGACGCUCAGUCACGAAAGCGUGGGUAGCAAAUAGGAUUAGAUACCCUAGUAGUCCACGCUGUAAACGAUGACAACUAAAUAUUGCCGCGAGGCAGUGUUGAAGCUAACGCAUUAAGUUGUCCGCCUGGGGAGUACGGUCGCAAGACUGAAACUUAAAGGAAUUGACGGGG
rnacentral:rRNA from 1 species